GACGAACGCUGGCGGCGUGCCUAAUACAUGCAAGUAGAACGCAGUUGCGAACGGGUGAGUACCGCGUAGGUACCGGCCUCAAAGCGGGGGAUAACUAUUGGAAACGAUAGCUAAUACCUGCUACUGUGAGAUGGACCUGCGGUGGAUUAGCUAGUUGGUGAGGUAAAGGCUCACCAAGGGGACGAUACAUAGCCGACCUGAGAGGGUGGUCGGCCCCAAUGGGACUGGGACACGGCCCAGAAUCCUACGGGAGGCCGCAGGAGGGAAUCUUCGGCAAUGGGCGGAAGUCUGACCGAGCAACGCCGCGUGGGUGAAGAAGGUUUUCGGAUCGUAAAGCUCUGUUGGUAGAGAAGCGGUAUCUAACCAGAAAGGGACGGCUAACUACGUGCCAGCAGCCGCGGUAAUUC
rnacentral:rRNA from 1 species